ensembl:snRNA U6 U6 spliceosomal RNA
UGGCUUCAGCAGUCCAUACACUAAAAUUGGAACAAUACAGAGAAGAUUAUUAUGGCCCCUGCAUAAUGAUGACAUGCAAAUUCAUGAUGCAUUCUGUAUUUUA